rnacentral:tRNA from 1 species
GGCAGCAUGGCUUAGUGGAUAAAGCAUUAAACUCUGACUUUGGAGACCUGGGGUCUAUUCUUAGUUCUGUGA